AGUGACGUCAAGUCAUCAUGGCCCUUAUGUCCAGGGCGACACACGUGCUACAAUGGCCGGCACAACGGGAAGCGAGUUCGCGAGGACGAGCGGAUCCCCCCUCAAAAGCCCGGUCGCAGUUCAGAUUGAAGUCUGCAACUCGACUUCAUGAAGCUGGAAUCGCUAGUAAUCGUGGAUCAGCCAAGCCGCGGUGAAUACGUUCCCGGGCCUU
rnacentral:rRNA from 1 species